rnacentral:rRNA from 1 species
AUUGAACGCUGGCGGCAUGCCUUACACAUGCAAGUCGAACGGCAGCACGGGUGCUUGCACCUGGUGGCGAGUGGCGAACGGGUGAGUAAUACAUCGGAACAUGUCCUGUAGUGGGGGAUAGCCCGGCGAAAGCCGGAUUAAUACUGCAUACGAUCCACGGAUGAAAGCGGGGGACCUUCGGGCCUCGCGCUAUAGGGUUGGCCGAUGGCUGAUUAGCUAGUUGGUGGGGUAAAGGCCUACCAAGGCGACGAUCAGUAGCUGGUCUGAGAGGACGACCAGCCACACUGGGACUGAGACACGGCCCAGACUCCUACGGGAGGCAGCAGUGUGGAAUUUUGGACAAUGGGCGAAAGCCUGAUCCAGCAAUGCCGCGUGUGUGAAGAAGGCCUUCGGGUUGUAAAGCACUUUUGUCCGGAAAGAAAUCCUUGACUCUAAUACAGUCGGGGGAUGACGGUACCGGAAGAAUAAGCACCGGCUAACUACGUG